AUGUGUGUACCAAAAGUCCAAGGAUGAAUGGGCUUCCCUGAUAUCCAUUGUUUCAGCCUGGCUCUGCUUGCCAAACAGGCAUGGCGUCUCCUUGAUAACCCUGAAUCCUUGUGUGCCACCAUUCUAUGGGCCAACUACUAUCCUGAUGGCGACUUGCUAAAUUCCAAGCCAAAGCGUGGUGCUUCCUUCACCUGGCAAGGCAUCAUCGCAGGCAUAACUACUCUGAAACGUGGCUAUAUUUGGCGAGUGGGGAAUAGACAUAAUAUGAACAAUUGGGAAGAUGUCUGGAUCCCAAAUUGUGCCACUAGAAAGAUUGUGACGCCUAAGGGGGGACAAUUGUUACCAAAAGUGGUGGAUUUGAAUGACCCCAUUUCCAAUAAUUGGGACGAGGACCUGAUUAGACAAGCUAUGUGGCCCAUUGACGCACAACGAAUUCUUUCAAUCCCAAUUUCGCAACAUAAUAUGACUGAUUUCAUUGCCUGGAGUUAUACAAAAAAUGGUAUGUUCGUAUGGUCUGCUUACUCUAUGGAGUGGAACUAUCAGUAUGGGAGUCAACUAAAACAUUCUAAUGGGAUGGGGCGAACCACACCUAACCCUAUAUGGUGUCAGAUAUGGAAGUUAUCAUGUCCGGCAAAAGUCAAAAUUUUCAAAUGGGGUAUGUUACAUCCUCUCCCAUGCUGGGCAACACUCGCUAAUAGACACAUGAAGGUUUCGCCCUUGUGCCCUACUUGCUCUCAGGGUGUAGAAGACACGAAACACAUGCUUUUUCUAUGUACUAAAGCAAAGGAAGUAUGGAAGAGAUUAGGGACGGAGGACAUUAUUGACAGAGCCUGUGAGGUUGAUCGUGCUGGAGAGGCGAUAUUGGAAUACCUUUUACUUCUUCCAGAGCAAGAUUUGCGUAUUAUGGGGUACCAAAAUGUAUGA
rnacentral:rRNA from 1 species